UACGAAGGGGCGAGCGUUGUUCGGAAUCACUGGGCGUAAGGGCGCGUAGGCGGCCCUCCUUGUCGCGUGUGAAAGCCCGGGCUCAACCUGGGAACGGCGCGCGAGACGGGGGCUGGAGUUCGGGAGAGGAGCGUGGAAUUCCCAGUGUAGAGGUGAAAUUCGUAGAUAUUGGGAAGAACACCGAUGGCGAAGGCAGGUCUCUGGGCAUUAACUGACGCUGAGGAGCGAAAGCAUGGGGAGCGAACAGG
rnacentral:rRNA from 1 species